AUGAGCAGACUUAGUGUAUGGGGCGGCCCAUCGGCGAGCGUAUUACCCAUCGGCAAUGAAAAGGUGUUCAGCUCCAUUUGGCAUUCGAGAAGAAAGGCGCAUUUCACAAGGAAGACGAUACGGAGCUGCGCAGCAGAUUUCAAGGUGCUCACUUCUGUUACAAGUAAUUAUAAUAACAUUGUAAUCCUCGAUACUCCAGAAUCACGAGUCCUGCUUCUCGAUUCUUCCAAUAAUGUGCAUAGCAUCCUUCACAAGGGAACCAAAUGGACUGGUGCAUAUUGGGAUGAGUUUGCUAGCUUGCCGGCCGUUGUUCCAAAGGGCCCUCUCGCAAUCUUUGGCUUGGGGGGCGCAACUGCUGCACAUUUGAUGCUUGAACUGUGGCCUUCUUUGCUGCUUGUUGGAUGGGAGAUAGAUGAAAUUUUGAUUGCAAAAGCAAGAGAAUAUCUUGGGCUCUCUGAUCUGGAGAAGCAUACUCAAGGUGGAGGUGUGUUGGAGGUUCAUAUUGGAGAUGUAUUUUCUUCAUCUGUUACUAUUCCUGGAGGUUAUGCUGGUAUAAUAGUUGAUUUGUUUUCUGAUGGAAAGGUUUUGCCACAACUGGAAGAGGUUAGAACUUGGUUGGAGAUGAAUAAUAUGUUGAUGCCCAAUGGUCGUCUCAUGGUGAAUUGUGGUGCUGCUACCAAAGAAUUGUCUGAUACUUCUGAAAUGAUGCAACCAGAUAUUCCCAAAAGGGAUGACCCUUUGGAACUAAACGCAACUAUCAAUGCAUUAUGCAAGGCAUUUCCUGAGCAAGUAAGCUGGAAAAAGCUGCCAAAGAGCGCAGGAGAAAAUUAUCUUGCACUGACAGGACCAUUACCAGAUUUGGAUAUUUGGUCUGCUCAUCUCCCGGAUCUAUUAAGCUCAAGUGUCAAAGAAUGGAGAAGUUGCACGCCUUCCCCUUCGUGAAUGUGACAUUGGGACUUGGUUAAGAUGUAAAUUUCCACAUGCCAAACCAUGCAGAAAAGUAAUUUCCAAUCACUUCAGCUCUCCCUGUUGCAUAUUAAACGUGAUGAAUGUCACUGAGAGUCUGAACUCUGCUUUAAGUUAGGAUACUACUUUGAGUUGUUACUAUGUCAUCACUCAUC